CCCCUUUCUUAUAUAAAGAAUGUUCAAUUUGUAAAAUUUUUCUUAUUGAAGCAAAGAUGGUUUAUAAAAGAAUUCUAUUCUUCUCUUCUUUAUUUUUAAUAUCAGAGCAAUAAAUGUGAAAAAAAUAUUUUUUCUCUUUUUCUCAUUUUGAUAUCAAAGCAAGGAUGAAACCAAGAAUUAAAAGAAAAGAAUUUAAAGUAUUUUGUAAAAUCAAAAAUGAAUGUAUCG
rnacentral:lncRNA from 1 species